rnacentral:misc_RNA from 1 species
GCAAACUUGGUCAUUUAGAGGAAGUAAAAGUCGUAACAAGGUUUCCGUAGGUGAACCUGCGGAAGGAUCAUUAUCGAGUUUUGACUGGGUUGUAGCUGGCCUUCCGAGGCAUGUGCACGCCCUGCUCAUCCACUUCUACACCUGUGCACUUACUGUGGGUUUCAGAUACUGUGAAAGCGAGCUUUGCAAAGAGCUCGUGAAAGCGGUGUCUGUGCCUGCGUUUAUCACAAACUCUGUAAAGUAUUAGAAUGUGUAUUGCGAUGUAACGCAUCUAUAUACAACUUUCAGCAACGGAUCUCUUGGCUCUCGCAUCGAUGAAGAACGCAGC